rnacentral:lncRNA from 1 species
ACCUUCUGAAGUAUGUCAUAGUCUUCUGGUUACCAUGUGAACUGUACACAGUCAUGGUCUCCAGAGACCAUCCUCAGAGUUACAGAGCUACUCUCAGAACCAUACUCGUGUUGAGAUUUCACUCACCUUCAAGGAGGAUGGGUCUCCCAAGCGAGCAUAGCUCAUCGGGGUGCAUGGGGCUGGCCACUAACAUCCUUGCCUUGUGUGUGCUCUGGGGACCAGCCAUGGCUAUGACUGUGUGUUUGUUGAACUUGGUGCAGGCGAAGGCAGGAGCUGCCCACGCCUUUCUCCAUGACCUUCUAGCUCUAGCCUUGAUUGGAAGCUUGGCCUUGCUCCUUUUGUUCUAGAAUUCAUUCUGUCUCCAGACAGGUAGAAUAUAAAGAAUGUUCUCAUCAUUCUCCUCCUACCAAGUCAUCCUCAAGUCAGCCAUUGUCCUUGACCUUCUGAGUUACAAGUCUCUGAGUCCUGCCCAUUCUGCGCCAGCUGUGGUCAUGGCUGUUCGGGAACCUCAUUUCUCUACUGGUUGGGGGUCCUGUCCUUAAGCUCCCAUCUGUCAGUCCUCGGGGGCCUGUCCUGGGGAACUACCUCCCAUCAACUACACCUUUGGUCUUGCAUCCAAGCCUCCGGAUGUCUUGUCCCUGAGUGCUUCCCAAAUGUUGGUCUUUGAUGUUCUUGUAGCCAACCGCCUGAAGAUGCUGGAAGCCAACUGCCUGAAACCCCCGCUUCGGCCAGUUUCCUUUACUUUCUGUUCAGUUAACAUCCUAGACCUCUGAUUCGGCCUCAGAUUUGGCUCUCGGUGCCUCUACUCCUCUGGUCCUUUCACCUCAAACUGCGGUCCAGCUCUCGAGUCUCCCUUGUAUGAACUAGAGCUCAGGUAUUGAUGACAAGUGGUUGGAUGUGACACUGGUGAGGGAGACAAGGGCCAGGUUUGAAGGGACCUGUAGCCAGACUAAGGACUCUGAACUUUAUUUUGAGCCCAACGAAGGAUUGUUGAUUUUCUUUUCUUUUGUCAGAAGUGAGACAGCCACACUGAAGGCUUGCUUCCCUCCUGCUCAUAGAGAGCUGAUAGCAACAACCAAGGCUACAUGCUUCCUGAGUUACAGCUGAUGAGAGACUGUCCACUCCACAACUGUCAGAGUCCUGAGCUUCAUUCCGAUUGCAACCCUGCCGCAUGCUCACUCCUUACUACUGUGAAAGGUCAUUGCUAUCAUUAUGGUGCUCAGCGGGUCUUUACUAAUCUAUUUACUCAUACUUAAAUGGAAAAUUUCAGAGUAUGUGUUUCCUCAUGGUUCUAUCUUUGGGAACAAGUCUGAUGGCCACUGCCUUUCUCCCUGCCAGAGUCAGGAUCUAGCAUCAGGGGUUUCCAGGGUUCCCUGGGAGCAGACGACUGUUGCCUAACAGCUACGUGGCUAACAGUACCACUGCCAGCAAGAACACUCCUUUACUUCACAGAAGUCUCCCCCUUCCUGCUCCACCAUGCUAGAGGGCUUGAAAUGCCUUGAAAUUCUCUCCCUUCAGAGUUGAAAUACCACUUCCCUGAAAAUAAAAUGCAUCUUCCCCAA